AAUUUUUCCUUGAAAGUUACAGGAGUUUUUCAGUAUAUUCCAUGAAUACUAGAUUCAAGUUCUAAAUCUGCCUGUAUUAUUUUGGUAAUUUAAUUUAAGGCUUUUUAGAUAAUAUAAAACCAGAUUCUACAAAGAGACAAUCUUUAAGAAUGUGAAUACAUUGAUUGAGCUCCAAUAAAGUAGAUUUCUGAGAAUAUUAACUAUGUAUGUUUGCAGAAAAAAGCAAAAUAAAAUAAAAUAAAAUAAAAUAAAAUAAAAUAAAAUAAAAUAAAAUAAAAUAAAAUAAUAAAAAACCUCAUUGACUAACUUGGUUAUGAAUGUACUUUUUCAUAAUUACAGCUCAAAAAAUAGUCCUGAUCACAUGCUCUAGCACUCUCACAAGCUAAUCCAGCAUAGGUAUUCCUUUAAAAUGGACAGUGAUAGAUCUCUUUUCUUAAGAUAGAAAAGGUGAAGUCAAUGUCAGCAAUGUCACUGUAGAACUUCAGAGCAUUUAUGAAUCCAUUUGAAAAACCCAAGCAGACUCUCGGAUCCUGUGAAAAGUCUGAAGUAUAUUUCCAGACAUCUCUCUAUCAUCACUUUACAGCAUUUGGAUCACUUGUAUUCAGAAGUUUGCUACAGGCAGCAUGAAAAUACUGGGAAAAGCAAAGUGUGCAAUGAUAUCAGAGCCAAGUGAACAAUGCAGAAACGGAUCCUGGGUGCCUGGAUCUCUAACCAUGACUGCAAAGCACAAAGGCUAUGUCAAAGCAUUCAUGGAUAGACUCCCCUACAUGGCUGCUAAAGAAAUUUGGAAUCAUGAGAGCAGGACUAGCCUUUUCCCAAGGGGCUGGAGAGACCUUUGCCUGAAGGCACCUGAGAUCUGGAGAAUAGCCUCCAAUAGUCUUGGAGAAUUGACAGAGGCCUCUGGGGUGCCCUGCUUAGCUGCUUUGAGACAGGUCAUACAGCAUUUUCACAACUCCACUGCAAACCAUAAACUUGGAAGAGCAACUCUCCUUUUCUGUGUAGCUGUGCAGCAGUUACCAGUUGAUGAAGACGUGUCAGCAGACUUCAGCAGACCAGCUGAUAGAGACUGUCGUAGCAUGUGAUGAACUUUCACUGAUUUCCUACAGGUGUAGAGCUGCAGCUUCGUUAUUGCUUUGGGACCACAAGAGCAACUGUGAGCACCUGUGGCAGGGAAGAUGUAAGGCAGAGACAAGUAAAUGAACCUUCUCUUGGAGGUAUAAGACAUUGAUGUCCCAUGUGUCGACCCCUGCAGAACAGAAUCAGGAGGUAUCUGUGCAGACUAAGCUCAACGUGUUUUAUUCUGGAUUUCUACUGAUGUCUGAGAGCAUAUGCUGCUGAACAGAAGGAGCACUGUUGCCUCCAGGAAAUUCCAAAAAAUUUCUGGAUCACAGCGAAAUCAUGACUGGGAAGUCUUGAAAGUGGUUUGCUUCAGUACUCUGUGACAGGGGACAAAUGCAUCUGUGGUGUACUUACUUCCUCCUCCUAAAAGGUCACCUGUUCCACUGCUCUGGUUGUAUGAAAUUGCUGGGGUAUAGGCACAAUCACAGUCAAUGUCUUAUAAAAAGAUUACGUGGAUGCCAAUCUGCAUAUGAAACAGUGCUACAACAUGUUUAGUAUCGAAUGAAACAAUGUUCACAGUCUUGUGCUGGUUUGGAAUUGGAAUAUAUUUAUUAAUUUAUAUUAUUUAAAACAUUCUUUUUUUUUUUUCUUUUUUUUUUUUACAGAAAUGCACUCAUUAAAGAUAGAACAUUCUGUAUGGCUGAAAAAGAAUAAAAGUAUUCUUAGCAAUUAAUUUUUAAAAUGG
rnacentral:lncRNA from 1 species